GCUGUUGAUGCUAAAAUACGUUGUUAACGCAUUCGUAAUGCGUAGGUCGGAGGUUCGAAUCCUCUCACCGGCA
rnacentral:tRNA from 1 species